AAAUUCAUUUGCGAAGUCUUUUCGAACACACAAAGCCCUAACAAUCAUUUUUCACUUUUGUUUUGAACGAAAUAAAAAACAAAGAGAAUCUCAUUUUCUGAGAAGAGAAAAAAAAAAAAAAAAAUGGCUGCUUUGGAUGAAAGCGCUUCUGCUAAGAGAUGGCUUCCUCUUGAAGCUAACCCCGAUGUUAUGAACCAGUUUCUCUGGGGCCUUGGUCUUAAAGAAGAUGUAGCAGAGUGCUAUGAUGUUUAUGGCUUGGAUGAAGAGCUUUUAGAAAUGGUCCCAAAGCCUGUACUUGCUGUGCUAUUUCUUUAUCCCAUAACUGGACAGAGCGAAGAAGAGAGAAUGCUGCAGGCAAAUGAAAAACAGGAACCUCAUGGGAGAGUUUAUUUUAUGAAACAAACUGUGGGCAAUGCUUGUGGAACAAUAGGUCUUCUGCAUGCCAUUGGAAAUAUUACUUCAGAGAUCAAGCUUGUUGAUGAAUCCUUCUUGGAUAGGUUUUUCAAAUCUACUGCAAGCAUGAAUCCAUUGGAGCGUGCAGCAUAUCUUGAGAGCGACAGAGAAAUGGAAGUUGCUCAUGCAGUAGCUGCUACUGGUGGUGAUACAGAGAUUUUCUUUGCAGGCUUCACGCAACGUGGACACCCAUUUUAUCUGCUUCGCAUGUGUGGAUGGGGUACUUUAUGAGCUUGACGGUAGAAAGACGGGACCAAUUUCUCAUGGUGCUUCUUCACCAGACAGUCUAUUACAGGAUGCUGCUAAAGUCAUAAAGGGCAUUAUCCAGAAAAACCCCGACUCGCUCAACUUCAAUGUGAUUGCCAUUUCAAAGAAAGCUUGAACAGUUUGAGAUUGUCCCCAAGGUUUCUCACAUAGAAUAUGUCGAUGCUGUAGUACUACGUGAUGUAAUUUUUAGUAUUCUCUGUAGUCUGAAAUAACUUUUUUCACAAUUAUUAUUUUCAUAUAGGCUUUACAGCCCCCAUUCCCAUAA